CAACUCUUCUUUUUGUGUAUGGUUUUUGGCCUAUCUGUGAAUGCUUCACCUGGUAUUGCCAAGAAAAUGUUAGAAGUGGUUUGGCUUUUUUGUGAGCAGUAUAAAGAUCUCUACCGUUUUGGUCUAUCUGAAGAAUGGAUGGUGAACUGUUCUUGAAGUCUGCAACCACAGCUGGGGAGCUGUUAGGUGAUGGCUUGAACUGGUGAUUGAGCACCUGGUGAAGAGGAGAGGCUGGCCCAGGGAGAAUAGGCAGAUUGCUUGCUCCUGUGCACACCCAGAAGGAGUGGGCCCAGGUUGGAGUCCCCCAGGACUCAUGUAAGAGCUGAUCACUGAGGGGAGGGUAUCUCUUGGGCCUGGGCUGCUUGCUGAGAAGGAGUGCUGCAUGGCUAGAGAAGCCCUUUCACCAGUUGGAGCUGGGCCUUAUUACUGCCUGUAUCACGAAAAUGAAAAUACCAUUAGGAACUAACUCUCAAGAAAUGACAGAGUCUGUAUUUGAAAAUGGAACAAACUUAUUCAGCAGCUUCUUCAGCAGUGAAAGCAGGAAUGAGUGGAAAGCACAAGAAGUGAAAGCAGCGGUGAGAGAUGUGGCAUCCUUCUUUAAUAUUUAGGAUGUUCUGAAGACUUUGUAAACAAUCUUUCCAGUGGCAUACUGGACAACUGACAGCAGCAGCACAGUUGGACAUGAAAGAUUUUGAAGGUUAUGUGCCUAUGUCUGUUUGAAAAUGUCCUUCGGGUUGUGCUCUCCCAUAAACUGAAUCAGCAUAUAAAUCUGCAUGCUGUGCAAUGGAUGUAUGUAAUGGAGGAACUGGGAUUGAAUCCAGGAUAAUGGUGGUCUCAAAUCUGCUAUAUUAUUUUUGUGCCUUGCAAAAUACAGCCUGAGUCAACAAGUGACUUCUUCAGCUCAUUGAAUACCAGUUUCCCCAGGAGGUGAACACAGAUUCUCUGCUUUUUAUCCCCUCUUGAUGUCUGGAGAACAUACAGAUCUUCUAGAUGCUUUCCUGUUGCCUGUAGUCAUGAAAUAAAGUGUAAUAGUUUAGAAACUGCUCUGGCUGGGGUCUCAGGAAGAGGAGAUGCUUUACUUUUCAAGUCUAAUGAAAGCCAGCUGGUCUUUCAUGACAGAUGAGAAGGGCAGAGACGGACAGCCUUGUGGUUAGACGUGACCAAGAAUGGGCCAGGCUGAAGUGGGUAAAGCACAGCAGCUUUGGAGGAGUUUUCUGGAGGAAGCUGGCAAUUCAGGACAUUCAGUGCUUACACUACUGAUUUUGUGUUUCUGUGAUUUUAAAGAUGGAAUAGAAUGCUUUUUCAUUUUGUUGGUUUUUGUUUAAAAAAAAAAAAAAAAAUGGGAUGAGGCUGAGUCUUAUCUGAUGUAGACCUUCAGUAAAAGUACAGUAGUUAAUCUGUUAAAUUCAAUAGAGGAAAAAAAAAAACCUUCAUUCAAAUCAGAAGUUUAAAGCAAUAAAAUGUGAACCAAGAAACAAGAAGUUCCCUUGCUUAUUAUGCUUGUUCUUUCUGAGGUAGAACAUAUGCAAAGGUCAACUCCAUUUACUGUGUGAGACUUGGCUGCAUGAGUGUGUGUAUUUAUAUACACGUGAA